rnacentral:ncRNA from 1 species
GACCCGAAAGAUGGUGAAUUAUACUUGAGCAGGAUGAAGCCAGAGGAAACUCUGGUGAAGGUCCAAAGCAAUGCUGGCGUGUAAAUCGAUCGUCUGACUUUGGUAUAGGGGCGAAAGACUAAUCGAACUAUUAUUUAGUAGCAGG